AACGAACGCUGGCGGCAUGCCUAACACAUGCAAGUCGAACGAGACCUUCGUGUCUAGUUGCGCACGUGUGCGUAACGCGUGGUAACCUGCCCUUAGGUUCGUAAUAACUCCCCGUAAGGGGUGCUAAUACCGCAUAAUUUCUUCGUACCAAAGAUUUAUCGCUUUUGGAUGGGCCCGCGUUGGAUUAGCUAGUUGGUAGGGUAAAAGCCUACCAAGGCGACGAUCCAGAGCUGGUCUGAGAGGAUGAUCAGCCACACUGGGACUGCGACACGGCCCAGACUCCUACGGGAGGCAGCAGUGGGGAAUAUUAGACAAUGAGCGAGAGCCUGAUACAGCAAUGCCGCGUGAGUGAUGAAGGCCUUAGGGUUGUAAAGCUCUUUUACCCGGGAUGAUAAUGACAGUACCGGGAGAAUAAGCUCCGGCUAACUCCGUG
rnacentral:rRNA from 1 species